AGUGAACGCUGGCGGCAGGCCUAACACAUGCAAGUCGAACGGCAGCACAGUAAGUUCUUGCCCUGACGGGGUGCGAGUGGCGGACGGGUCGCGAAUAGAUCCGGCUUUACAUUUUCGUGGGACAGAUCGAAGCGAAACCUACGCUAACAUCGCAUACCACUUACGGGUGAAACAAGGGGAUCUUCGGACCUCCGGCGUUAGAUUGACCCGGUGUCGGAUUACCUAGUUGGCGGGGGAAAGGCCCACCAAGGCGACGAUCCGUAGCUGGUCCAAGGGGAUGAUUAGGCAGACUGGAACAGAGACACGGCCCAGACAUUUGCGCGAGGCAGCAGUGGGGAAUAUUGGGCGAUGGGCGAAAGGCUAAUACAGCCAUACCGCGUGAGUGAAGAAGGACCGAGGGUUGUAGGGCCCAUUUGUUGGGAAGGAAGAGAAGCAGGUUUGUACCCCGCUGUUCUGACGGUACCCAAAGAAUAAGCGACGGCUAACUACGUG
rnacentral:rRNA from 1 species